GCGUGUGCCGGUGCAACGUCCGACCAUUUAAAAAUAAUCACCGGCUACACAUGUAGAAGCUCGCGGAGAGAGCGAUUAGGACAGGGGUUCGACUCCCCUCGCCUCCAAUU
rnacentral:tmRNA from 1 species